GGGCCCAUAGCUCAGUUGGUUAGAGCGGCCGACUCAUAAUCGGCUGGUCCGGGGUUCGAGUCCCUGUGGGCCCACUA
rnacentral:tRNA from 1 species